CAGACACAGACAGCUCCGGCAGCAACGUCUGGAAACCACAGAAGAAGAAGCUGAAACGACCUGAGGGGGAGCUGAGAGGCGGACGGCAGUCGGAGUCGGGUCACACCUGAGUGAAGAAGUGCACUUCGUGUUUGGUGGGGUGAACGUUCACGUCGACGUUCUGCGGAGAGAUUUCCAGGCUGAGGAGAAAACAUCACAGGAAUUUACAGCAUCCUCCAUGUUUUACUUUAAACCUGGGCAAAAUGUGGAAGCAGCAAAAAAAGAACUUCAAACAUCUGGAUCUGUGACCACAGCUGGACCAGAACCCGGGUUAACCUUCACUCACAGGGAGCAGGAUGGGAGGAAACGCUAAAAACUGAAAACUGCUGCGUCUUGGAGACGCAGUGUCUCCAUAACAAAUAUUAGAUGCUAUCUGAAAGCUAACUAUUUGUUUGGGAGGAAAGCCAGAAAAGGUUUCAUUUCAUCAACAGCGUUUCUACAGACUAAUUUAAUGAAUGUGACAAAAAAACUUCUCAUAACUACAGCUUGGUUCGGUGGAGGACCCAUGAUGCUGCGGGUCAGGGAACUAAAACAUUUCAAAUAUUUCUGGCUUCCUCUCUUUCUCAUUUCAGUUUCCAUCUGUCUGUGACCUUUAACCUUUUGAUCAACAUCUUUUAUGUCCGGUGUGAUCAGCUGCUGCUGUUAGACUCUAAACAUUACAUCAGGAUGAUGAUUUGAUAAUAUUAACAGCUGGAUUUUAUUAAGAAGCAGCUACUGCACACACAGACAUCACCAUGGCGACGGACGUA